UGUAUGUCAAUUGAUCCACAGU
rnacentral:miRNA from 1 species